ACAUACGACCACAGAUAGAUGAAAAAUCGGCUUCCCGUCCGAUCAGCCAUGAUAAUCAUCUAAUCGCUACACUAGUACUCAAGUUGGUGACAAUUGG
rfam:Zymoseptoria brevis strain Zb18110 contig621, whole genome shotgun sequence.